UACGUAGGGUCCGAGCGUUGUCCGGAUUUACUGGGCGUAAAGCGCGCGCAGGUGGUUCAUUAAGCCCGGCGUGAAAGCCCCCGGCUCAACCGGGGAAUGGCGCCCUAAACUGGCGAGCUAGAGUGAGAUAGGGGUGUGUGGAACUUCCGGUGGAGCGGUGAAAUGUGUUGAUAUCGGAAGGAACGCCGGUGGCGAAAGCGACACACUGGAUCUUGUCUGACGCUGAGGCACGAAAGCCAGGGGAGCGAACGGG
rnacentral:rRNA from 1 species